GCUGCCCCCGCACAACUUCCCGCUGGGAUUUAACGCCGGGAGCCGCCGCAGCCUCCGCCAGCCCAGAUGAUGAAGCCAGUCAGCCAACUGCUCAGCCACCAGCCACUGUUGUAGUUAUCUGCAAUGGGGACAACAGAAAUAAGACAAAAUGGAGGAAUGUUCUCACUCAUCCUUUUGGAGGAAAGUGCUGCUCUAAGCUCUAGCAGACCAUCUGUAUCUUGCCCUAUGCUGUUGGUUCCUGCCUAAUAAGCAGUGGGAUAAGUGAUGACUUGCCAAGUGAGGGAAUUCAGCAGAGCAUAUCUAUCAGCUUGGAGAAAACACAGGUUUCUUCCAUGAUGCCCAGCUUGUUCCAUUCCUGGGCAUCUAGCGCCAUGGUGACCAUGUCCUCUGAUGAUCAGCUCCUUGUUUUGAGACUUUCUCAUGCCCUCCAUCCCUUCCAUGUCUCCCCUCCUAAAUAAAUGCCCUGUACUCAACACCCAGCCAUAGCCCUAACACAGUGUGUACUGUCAUUGCAUUGUUUGCU
rnacentral:lncRNA from 1 species